rnacentral:rRNA from 1 species
UGAACGCUGGCGGCAUGCCUUACACAUGCAAGUCGAACGGCAGCACGGGGGCAACCCUGGUGGCGAGUGGCGAACGGGUGAGUAAUAUAUCGGAACGUGCCCUGGAGUGGGGGAUAACGCAGCGAAAGUUGCGCUAAUACCGCAUACGAUCUACGGAUGAAAGUGGGGGAUCCGCAAGGACCUCAUGCUCGUGGAGCGGCCGAUAUCUGAUUAGCUAGUUGGUAGGGUAAAAGCCUACCAAGGCAUCGAUCAGUAGCUGGUCUGAGAGGACGACCAGCCACACUGGAACUGAGACACGGUCCAGACUCCUACGGGAGGCAGCAGUGGGGAAUUUUGGACAAUGGGGGCAACCCUGAUCCAGCAAUGCCGCGUGAGUGAAGAAGGCCUUCGGGUUGUAAAGCUCUUUUGUCGGGGAAGAAACGGUUCAUCCUAAUACGAUGGACUAAUGACGGUACCCGAAGAAUAAGCACCGGCUAACUACGUGCCAGCAGCCGCGGUAAUACGUAGGGUGCAAGCGUUAAUCGGAAUUACUGGGCGUAAAGCGUGCGCAGGCGGUUAUGUAAGACAGAUGUGAAAUGCCCGGGCUCAACCUGGGAACUGCAUUUGUGACUGCAUGGCUAGAGUGUGUCAGAGGGGGGUAGAAUUCCACGUGUAGCAGUGAAAUGCGUAGAGAUGUGGAGGAAUACCGAUGGCGAAGGCAGCCCCCUGGGAUAACACUGACGCUCAUGCACGAAAGCGUGGGGAGCAAACAGGAUUAGAUACCCUGGUAGUCCACGCCCUAGACGAUGUCAACUGGUUGUUGGGAGGGUUUCUUCUCAGUAACGAAGCUAACGCGUGAAGUUGACCGCCUGGGGAGUACGGCCGCAAGGUUGAACUCAAGGAAUUGACGGGGACCCGCACAA